rnacentral:lncRNA from 1 species
AUGUCAGCGUUUACUCCUGUCAAGCCUGCAGCGAAGCCAGUGAGUCUUGAGGCCUACCAUUCCUCAGCUGCCAGCAAUGUUCAUGAAACCUCUUGCAUUUUUGCUGCUGUUAAUGGUAAGUACAUCAGACUGACUCGCUGGGUCAGACCAUCUAACCCAAUAUCCUGUCUCCUCCCACAGCCAGCAGUAAAUGCCAAGGGAAGAGCACAAGAACAGACCCACAAAGUGAAAGAGUCUCUCUUACAUGCAGAACACGACACCACCCCAAACUACAAGGGAAAGAUUUGCCAUUUCAAGCUGGAAGAAGCUGUACAGAGCUACAUCACAUCUGUUCAUUCCCCUCGAACAGCUAAAGAAAAUAAUAUUCUGCCAACCUUGACCAGCAGUGGAUAAUGUAAUUCCUUAUGGUAAAGGAGCUGCAGUGUCUGUUCAUGAUCAUCUUUGUCCAUGCAUCUGUCAACCACCUGUUUUAAGGCCUCUCAUUCUUCUUCCAUAUAAUAUACAGACCACACAAGACUGAUUCUUCAUAUCUAUGAAGAUUCCAGCAAAAUAUACUGUAUUGAAUUAAAUCCCUCUUAGCCUUCACAAUACCCAACAACAGAAGACACACUGCAGCAUAUUGUCCACACAAACAAGCUAGCAGCCCAUUAUCAAAGAAGAGAACAAAGAAGUUUGGAGGUAAGAUUUAACAGUAAUACUCUUAAUUAACAGAAUAAUUGUUUUCUCUUUCUCAUAAGGAAAAAAAGUCCUCCAAACAAUGCUGAAAAGUCUUGAACAGCUGGAGUAAAUGUUAAGACAUUAUUGACCAUAUCUACCAUCCAUGUCUUCCUGGCAGUCUUCAGCAGUGAUACAGUCUUCAGCAGUGAUAUUAGAAGAGUGAAAUAUGUAACUGUACUCAUGCUUAUGAUUUCACUUCUUAGGGCGGUGUACAACAUUGAUGCUAUCCAACAGCUGUGAUAUCCUUAUAGGAAAUUACUGCUUUUCUUUCCCUGCCUCCUCUCCUUUACCUUUUAAUUCUACUGCCCAUCACUCUGUUCCUGUCUACUUUGUUUUCUUAUUGAUCCAUUUGCCUUGGGAGACUUUCACUAAGUAUAUGAUUUGCUACAGUUAGUAGAUGUCUCAGACUAUAAGAAAACUGACACACUCAACAAAUAAUUCCUCCAGGCACAUGGGCUGGCCACUACAAUAAACCUGAAAGUUUAAGGAAAAUAUUUCCA